rnacentral:rRNA from 1 species
GAUGAACGCUGGCGGCGUGCCUAAUACAUGCCAGUCGAGCGAACAGAUGAGGAGCUUGCUCCUCUGACGUUAGCGGCGGACGGGUGAGUAACACGUGGAUAACCUACCUAUAAGACUGGGAUAACUUCGGGAAACCGGAGCUAAUACCGGAUAAUAUAUUGAACCGCAUGGUUCAAUAGUGAAAGACGGUUUUGCUGUCACUUAUAGAUGGAUCCGCGCCGCAUUAGCUAGUUGGUAAGGUAACGGCUUACCAAGGCAACGAUGCGUAGCCGACCUGAGAGGGUGAUCGGCCACACUGGAACUGAGACACGGUCCAGACUCCUACGGGAGGCAGCAGUAGGGAAUCUUCCGCAACGGGCGAAAGCCUGACGGAGCAACGCCGCGUGAGUGAUGAAGGUCUUCGGAUCGUAAAACUCUGUUAUUAGGGAAGAACAAAUGUGUAAGUAACUAUGCACGUCUUGACGGUACCUAAUCAGAAAGCCACGGCUAACUACGUG